GGCUAUACAAAUAGGGGUGUUACACUGGUGCUAGUGGACAGAUUGUCCAAAUAUGGCCAUUUUCUGGGCUUGCGAAGUUGCAUGGUCUUCCUCGUUUAAUAGUUAGUGAUCGAGAUUCAUUAUUUCUUAGUAAUUUCUAGACAGAACUAUUUCGCAUGCAGGGAACUAAGUUGAAAAUGAGCACUGCAUACCACCCGGAAAAAGAUGGCCAAACCGAGGCUCUUAACAGAGGUUUGGAGACUUUAUCUAUAAUGUUUUAAAUUGGAAGAACCUAAGCAAUGGUACAAAUGAUUACCAGGGGCAGAAUUCUGGUACAAUACCAGUUAUCACACGGCAGCCGGAAUGACCCAUUUGAAGUGUUAUAUGGGAGGCCACCACCUGCAAUUUACCAAUUCAUUCUAGGCGAAUACACCUAGUCUUUCAUGUUUCACUCUUAAAAAGAGAACUGGGUGAGCAUGAUGUUGCAGAAGAAUUACCAGAUGACUUAGACUCUGCAUUCAAAAUAUUAGAACCGGAAUCAAUCAUGCGAAGCCAGAAAGUUAUGAUUGAUGGGGUGGAAGGUCUUUAAUGUUUUGACUAAAUGGAAAGGCCUACCUGUUGAAGAUGUCACUUGGAUGGAUAUUGUAGACCUUCGCAAUCAAUUUCCAAAUUGCUGCCUUGAUGACAAGGCUGUUCUUACAGUGGGUGGCAAUGUUAUGAACGCAGGAGAUGGAUCAGAGUAUGAACCAGGACAUCUCAGAGUUUAUUACAGAAAAAGAAAUAAGGAUAACAAGCAAGCAAAUCUGUUGGGAGGUCAGGAUAAGGCCAAUCUUCUUCAUGGCAAUCAGGUUGUUACAGAAGAUAUGAAUAAGUUAGUUGCAGCAGAGGAUAAUGCAGUAGACAAAGAUAAACAAGCCAAGAAUGCCAGAGCCUAUAAAUAGAGAGAGAGGGAAAUGGAGAGGAUGUCUCGAGUAUUUUGUAGUUCUGGCCAUUAGUUCCUUGGAGCAGUGACUUGUGUCCUGCUACAUUAUUCAGUUGCUAGUUAUUGAGUUAAUUAUUUCUUUAUUUAUUUAUGGAGAUUGUUAAUUUGUGGUUUUACAGAUUCUCUUCAAUAAACUUAAUUUCUUUCCUCAUUACUUGCCUCUAUUUCUUUACAAUAUUCCUCACUCUAUCAACAACAUUUUGAAAGAUGACUUUGAUCUCUAAGCUCUUGCGACAUCAAUGCCUUAGGUUGAGAACUGCAUGUCCAAAACAAGUUAUUCCUACAAAUGCCCACAGAAAGAUUUGAUCAUUCAUAUUAUUAUUUGUUCUCAACAAAUCACAAGCUCCUGCUUAGUGCUGAUGCAAUCUAGGGGAAAUUAAGGACUGCAUGUAUAAAAAGGAUCUAAAACAGAAAUUAGAACAAGGCUGAAAGAAAAGGCUUAAAUAUUUGAUAUUCUGCAUUCUCCAGCAAAGAAAAAAAUCUAGCAAAAAGGUUAAAAAGACAACCUGGACCCUAAAGAGGUAGGAUAGAAGCAAAGAAACAAGAAACCUUAAUUUUAUCAUCUUCAAAUGUGGCUCAAAUUCUUAGAGCAGCCAAUUUGUAGAUUUGAAAUGUUUGGCCUCCAUAUUUCCCAAAUCUUAGACCCUAAUUCAUGUGGAUAUUUACCCUGUCAGUUAUUUAAGCUUGCAAUCUUGACCCAAUUUAACAAUACUGCAAUUCCCAGAAUACCUCUAUGUAGCAUUAAACUGCAAUUUCACUCUAAAACAUAGUUAAUCAAUCUCCAAGCAUUCGUUUUUCAGUUUAGUUAUUCAAAAAUGGCAUUUAAUUUGAGCACAUCAAGUGCCCAGCCGUCUCAAAGGUUUUGAUAAUCUACGAUAAGCAUGACCAUAUGCAGGAUUGCGUCCCCUAGCAGAAUUACUAAUACUUGGAGUUGGAGAUUUUAAACAUCAAAGAGUAAGGUUAUCAUAUACCUGUAAGGUGAAUACCAAAACCUUUAAAUCAUAUACUCACAGAAUAAGAUGCAGUUAAAAAACAGUUGAUUAUCUGCCAUGCAUAGCCAACAGCAUG
rnacentral:misc_RNA from 1 species